GGCUCCCCGCCAGGGCCCUUCGGGCCCUCCACCUUCCUGCGGGGACCGGAGCGGCGGCCCGGGGCCCCUCCCAGGCGGGGCGGGCGGAGGGAGUGCGGAGACCCUGCCCAUCCCCUGAAUUCCGAGCACAGGCUGGUGGGCCGAGGGUCGGGAGGAGCCGGGUGCCGUGGAAUCCAGUCAAGGCUUUCCCCGCCCCCUGCCCUUCCCCUGAACUUACUCUCCCGGCUCCAGUUCUGCCGGAAGGCCGUGCCUUUGCCUCAUUUCGUGGGUCCAAGAGGCUAAACUUCGGGGCCACGAACCCUCAGCAGAUCUGAGUUCUAGUCACUGCUCUACCCACGACCCCAGGACGGGACUAAAGAUUUUGGCCAAGUUCCCUAAUCUCCCCGAGCGACUGUUUUCUCAGAGGCGAAUUAGAAAGAGUUUGACCUUCACGGUUCUGCUGUGAAGAUCAAAAGCGGUGGAGUGAACGUGGAAAGGAAGAGGAAGGACCCCUUCCGUGUCCUGGACGGCUUACCAGUCCCUCCACAGACAUUUAAUCCUCACAACCAGCCCGAAGGAGAGGCUGACUCGCUCAAGGCCACAGCGCUGAGUGAUACACAUCUUUAUCGCUGCCAUGGUCGUUGGGCCUUCUACCGGGGACCAGAUUUUGUAACAGGAAUCAUACAGAUGGAGAGGAAAAAAGAAGAGCUAGAAGACGCUAAGCUGCCCUGGGAACAGAGAGGAAAAGUAUGAUAAGAGUCAAAGGAGGAAGAAAUGGAAGUUUUAAUGGAAGAUGAUGAAAAAACAAGAGGCCAAGCUUUGUCUACUGAAAGGGCCUAGAGGCAGAGACACCCCAGUAGCAAUGAGCACCUACAACUCAAAUCUUGGCUGCUAAUUCCAAGAGCUCCUCAAAGAAAUGGCCAGUUCCAGAGCUGGGACAAGGAUCUACUCAGAAGAUAAUAUUGUACCAUAUGACCUAGCCAUUCUCCACCUCGGCAUUUGCCCAAGAGAAGUGAAAGGAUAUACCCAGACAACAACUUGUACAUGAAUGUCCAUAACAGCUUUAUUCAUAAUAGCCCCAAAGUGGAAACAACCCAAAC